rnacentral:tRNA from 1 species
GAAAUAUACGUAUGUAAAAAUAAGCUUCUAACUUAGUUUUAAAGCGAUGAAAUCUCGUUUAUAUUUCU